rnacentral:rRNA from 1 species
CAGUAGCCGCGGGAAUACGAAGGUGGCAAGCGUUGUCCGGAAUUAUUGGGCGUAAAGGGCUCGCAGGCGGUUUCUUAAGUCUGAUGUGAAAGCCCCCGGCUCAACCGGGGAGGGUCACUGGAAACUGGGAAACUUGAGUGCAGAAGAGGAGAGUGGAAUUCCACGUGUAGCGGUGAAAUGCGUAGAGAUGUGGAGGAACACCAGUGGCGAAGGCGACUCUCUGGUCUGUAACUGACGCUGAGGAGCGAAAGCGUGGGGAGCGAACAGGAUUAGAUACCCCGGUAGUCCCUGUCUCUUAUAU